UACGGUCUUGGUGGAAAAGAAGGCGGACCUCCAGGAAACCAUCAGGUAAUGGGCAGGAGGUAGCAAAUCAGCAACCAUCUGAUCAACAGCAGGGAUCAGCAGAUCAGCAAUCAUCUGGUCAACAGCAGGGAUCAGCAGACCAGCAAUCAUCUGGUCAACAGCAGGGAUCAGCAGGAGAUCAACAGCAGUCGGCAGAUCAGCAAUCAUCUGGUCAACAGCAGGGAGCAGGAGAUCAACAGCAGUCGGCGGGUCAGGAACCGGCAGCAGCAAGCUAAUACCCUCACUUUUCUCAACCACCAUAUCUGGGCUAAAGAAAUAAAUCACUGGAGAUCUGCACUUCAAAUCAGCUUCCCUUUUUUUAAUAAUUCUGUCUUUUGCACCUCCUUCAUUGUAUCACAAAUAAAUUGCUUUACAGCAAAAUAAAUAAUGAAU